rnacentral:piRNA from 1 species
UGGAUUCAAAGAUAGCGAUUACUUCUAGAA